CGGACGGGUGAGUAACACGUGGAUAACCUACCUAUAAGACUGGGAUAACUUCGGGAAACCGGAGCUAAUACCGGAUAAUAUAUUGAACCGCAUGGUUCAAUGUGAAAGACGGUUUUGCUGUCACUUAUAGAUGGAUCCGCGCCGCAUUAGCUAGUUGGUAAGGUAACGGCUUACCAAGGCAACGAUGCGUAGCCGACCUGAGAGGGUGAUCGGCCACACUGGAACUGAGACACGGUCCAGACUCCUACGGGAGGCAGCAGAC
rnacentral:rRNA from 1 species